rnacentral:rRNA from 1 species
AGAGUUUGAUCCUGGCUCAGGAUGAACGCUGGCGGUAUGCUUAACACAUGCAAGUCGAACGAAUGACUUCCCUUUUUGAUGGGAUUUGGGUGAGGAACGCGGAAUAAUCUACCGUCAAGCUGCCUCCUACAGGGGAAAACCCCUGCUAAUACCAAAUGGACCGAAAGGGGAUUGUUAAUUGCCCGAUGAUGAGAUGGCGUCUGAUUGCAUAGUUAGUGUGGUAAGGGCUUGGCUCAGCCAAGCGAUCAGAAACGUAUCUGACAUGAGAGGGCAGAUCACACUGCGUCUGAGACACGACCCAGACUAGACUCGGGAGGCAGCAGUGCAGUGUUUUAUGCACACAAUGAGAGCCUGCCGGAGCCAGCACGCGUGAGGGAGGAAGGCUGGCGGUUGGUAAACCUCUUUUCUCAGUCAAGAACAAAUAAACGGUACCGAGAGAAUCAGCAUCGGCUAACUCCGUGCCAGCCAGCGCGGUAAUACGGAGGAUGCAAGCGUUUCCGGAAUGAUUGGGGGUAAAAGGGAGCAGGGCGGAUUUUUAGUUGAGAUCAAAAUAUUGGGGUUUACCCUAGAGAGGCCGUUUCAAAUGAAAAGUUAGAGUACCGUAGGGGGAGAGGGAAUUUCCGGUGUAACGGUGAAAUGGGUAGAGAUCGGGAAGGACCCCCGUGGGGGAAGCGGUUUGUUAGGCCUGUAAUGGCCGUGAGGGCUGGAAAGUAGGGGGGGGAAUCGGGUUAGAUACCCCAGGAAUUCCAGCCGUAAACGAUGGAUUAUAGGGGUUAGGGGUAUUGACCCCAUCAGUGCCGUAGCUAACGCGUUAAGUAUUCCGCCUGGGGAGUACGGGCGCAAGAGUGAAACUCAAAGGAAUUGACGG